UAUGUACUCUCUCCGUCCAACAAAAAUGUCUCAAGUUUGUCAAAAUUCGGAUGUAUCCAGAUAUGAUUUAGUGUAUAGAUGCAUUCAAAUUUAGUCGAAGUUGAGACAUCCUUUAUUGAACGGAGUAAGUAUGGU
rfam:Brachypodium distachyon strain Bd21 chromosome 1, whole genome shotgun sequence.